rnacentral:rRNA from 1 species
GACGAACGCUGGCGGCGUGCUUAACACAUGCAAGUCGAACGGAAAGGCCCUGCUUUUGUGGGGUGCUCGAGUGGCGAACGGGUGAGUAACACGUGAGUAACCUGCCCUUGACUUUGGGAUAACUUCAGGAAACUGGGGCUAAUACCGGAUAGGAGCUCCUGCUGCAUGGUGGGGGUUGGAAAGUUUCGGCGGUUGGGGAUGGACUCGCGGCUUAUCAGCUUGUUGGUGGGGUAGUGGCUUACCAAGGCUUUGACGGGUAGCCGGCCUGAGAGGGUGACCGGCCACAGAGGAAGUGAGAGACGGUCCAGGGUCAUACGGGAGGCAGCAGUAGGGACUCUUCCGCAAUGGGCGGAAGCGUGACGGAGUGACGCCGCGUGAGUGAUGAAGGUCUUCGGAUAGUAAUACUGUGGUAUUAGGGAAGAACAAAUGUGUAAGUAAAUAUGCACGUCAUGACGGUAACUAAUCAGAAAGCCACGGCUAACUACGUG